AUACCUCGGGAAACUGAGGCCAAUGCUUGAUACAGCUCCCAGAUUUGAAUAUCGGGAGCUGGAAACGCUACGGCGCCAUAGGAUGUGGCUGCGGCCGAUUAGGUAGACGGUGGGGUAACGGCCCACCGUGCCGAUAAUCGGUACGGGUUGUGAGAGCAAGAGCCCGGAGACGGAAUCUGAGACAAGAUUCCGGGCCCUACGGGGCGCAGCAGGCGCGAAACCUUUACACUGCACGACAGUGCGAUAAGGGGACUCCGAGUGCGAGGGCAUAUAGUCCUCGCUUUUCUGCACCGUAAGGUGGUGCAGGAACAAGUGCUGGGCAAGACCGGUGCCAGCCGCCGCGGUAAUACCGGCAGCACGAGUGAUGGCCGCUCUUAUUGGGCCUAAAGCGUCCGUAGCCGGCCAAGCAAGUCCGUUGGGGAAUCGACGCGCUCAACGCGUCGGCGUCCAGCGGAAACUGUUUGGCUUGGGGCCGGAAGACCUGAGGGGUACGUCCGGGGUAGGAGUGAAAUCCUGUAAUCCUGGACGGACCACCGGUGGCGAAAGCGCCUCAGGAAGACGGACCCGACGGUGAGGGGCGAAAGCUAGGGUCUCGAACCGGAUUAGAUACCCGGGUAGUCCUAGCUGUAAACGAUGCUCGCUAGGUGUGGCGCAGGCUACGAGCCUGCGCUGUGCCGUAGGGAAGCCGUGAAGCGAGCCGCCUGGGAAGUACGUCUGCAAGGAUGAAACUUAAAGGAAUUGGCGGGGGAGCAC
rnacentral:rRNA from 1 species